AGAGGGAGAUGAGGUCUAUUUCUGCAUUGGCUCUAGGAUAUGGUUUUAAGAUCCUUCCUGAGAAUUCAUAGCCACUGAUCAGCCUUCAUGUCAGUAGGGUGUGCAUAGCCUAGAAAAGUCACAAGUGGAGACUUUUUAAAAUUGGAGUACAGUUGACAUACAUGUUAUAUUAGUUCUGGGUGCACACCAUGGUAUUCGACGAUUCUAUUCAUCACUCAGAGCUCAUCACGUGGUGGGGAAACCGAUUUCCCUACGAAGUUGGGCGUGGCAUCAUGAAGGCUUUAUUCUGACAGUUCCGUGUAACUGAGUGUAUUCCAGUGGAAACGGAUUAGUCGGCCAGGUGGCUUGCCCACCAGACGUUCUUGCUGAAACUCCUCUGUGCGUCACCGGCCUCCAGGCACAAGAUUUCAGAUAUACGGAGAGACAUCCGGCACUCCGUUACUUAAGUGUGGUGUCUCACUUCUGAUAUCACAUUGGCUUCACGUGACCCACGUGCAUGCAUAAGGGACCCCACGUUCCAGUGCUGAAGAUGCCAUUUCCCAGCUGCAUGGAAACAACUUACCUAAGAUGCCCUAACAGUCUUUAUAAAGGGCCUUGUGAUUGCGCCCCUCAGAGGCCACACAGCAGACAGACGGUAGAAACACUCUGAGUCUCUCUCUUCAACACUGUCCUGGAAAGCCUGGGAGUAGAAGGAGCCACCUCAACCAACGCCAUGCAAAACCUGUGCUAGAGAACAUCGGAGAACCAGAAGCCCCAGGAGAAGUCAUGUGGCACAUUCCUCUGUGUUAUAGCCUGACCACAUCUUAACGGACCCAUGCACGCGACCAUCCGUGGGAGUUUUAAGUGGAAGUCUUCAUUUGCUUUGCGUUUCACUUGAUAUCUUAAAAAGUUGGUUGAUAUAUUUCUGUUCUGAGAUGGGCUAAGGCUGUGAUUAUUAUUAUCAUUAUUAUUAUUAUUUUUUUUUUUAGAGAGGGAGAGACUUGGGGAGAGGAGCAGAGAAAGACUCCUAAGCAGGCCCCAGGCCCAGCACAUAGCCUGAUGCGGGGCUCAGUCUCACAACCCCGAGAUCAUAACCUGAGCCCAAACCAAGAACCAACGGAGCCACCCAGGCGCCCCUAAGGUUGUGAUUACUAACCUUGAAUACCCCCAUUCUCCACCAAAAACUCAUUUAGGGAAGUGGGUGAACGCGAAGGUAUUAGAGAGUGGGAAGCCGAACUCGAGUUUUAUUUCUUCAUUUUUAAUGCAAGAGAUGAAGAAAAAAAAAAAAAGCCCCCGAAGCCCAACUCUGAUCCAUGCAGGGGUGAAAUUUGCCUUCUCCUCGGCUUUUAAAGUUUAAGAGGACCUUGUGCGGUUUUCAGUCAUUUGAUUCUUCAUUCAUUUAUUCAAUUUUUAAAAAAGAUUUUAUUUAUUUAUUUGACAGAGAUAGAGACAGCCAGCGAGAGAGGGAACAC